UGCAUAUGAUGCCAACAAAUAUUUGCUCUCUGAGCUUUUAUGAUGACUCUCAGCCACCAAGAUCGCUGAUGCA